GAUGAAGAACGCAGCGAAAUGCGAUAAGUAGUGUGAAUUGCAGAAUUCAGUGAAUCAUCGAAUCUUUGAACGCACAUUGCGCCUCCUGGUAUUCCGGGAGGCAUGCCUGUUCGAGCGUCAUUAAAAUCACUCAAGCUUAGGUUUACCUAUUGCUUGGUCUUGGAGAUGGAAGCCAAUUCAUUGGAAUCCUCUUCGAAAUCCAAUGGCGAAGACCCUUGCUCUCCCAAGUGUAGUUAUAACUUAUGUCACUGAAGGAAGCGAGAAAUCUUCCGCCGUAACCCCCAUAUUUUCUAUGAUUGACCUCGGAUCAGGUAGGGAUACCCGCUGAACUUAAGCAUAUCAAUAAGCGGAGGA
rnacentral:misc_RNA from 1 species